rnacentral:rRNA from 1 species
AACUUUCAACAACGGAUCUCUUGGCUCUCGCAUCGAUGAAGAACGCAGCAAAAUGCGAUAAGUAAUGUGAAUUGCAGAAUUCAGUGAAUCAUCGAAUCUUUGAACGCACCUUGCGCCCCUUGGUAUUCCGAGGGGCAUGCCUGUUUGAGUGUCA